GAUGAACGCUGACAGAAUGCUUAACACAUGCAAGUCUUUGGCGAAGCUGUGCUUGCACAGCCUAGCCAAGGCGGACGGGUGAGUAACGCGUAAGGAACUUGCCCUGCAGUCAGGGAUAACAGACGGAAACGACUGAUAAGACCUGGUAAAGUCAGGCGGACUCAUGUCCAGCCUGAUGAAAAGAGAUGCUGCAGGAGAGCCUUGCGUCCUAUUAGCUUGUUGGUGGGGUAACGGCCCACCAAGGCGAUGAUAGGUAGCCGGCCUGAGAGGGUGGACGGCCACAAGGGAACUGAGAUACGGCCCUUACUCCUACGGGAGGCAGCAGUGGGGAAUAUUGGACAAUGGGGGCAACCCUGAUCCAGCAAUUCUGUGUGCACGAUGAAGGUUUUCGGAUUGUAAAGUGCUUUCAGCAGGGAAGAAAAAAAUGACGGUACCUGCAGAAGAAGCGACGGCUAAAUACGUG
rnacentral:rRNA from 1 species